UCUUCUGUUACUAACAGUGAGAGAAAUAGAUUGUGAAAACCUUGAAGAAUUGUGUGUUGGGUUUUGUAUCUUGAAGGACUUAGCAGUGUUUGAAAUGAAUGAGGAUUUGGUUUUGGUGUAGAAGAGUGAAGGUUGUGAGAGUAAACAUGAUUCAGCCAUUGUUAGAGAUUUGAAGGAAGUGAUAGACAUAGCUGAAUUUUUGAGAGAAAAAAGGAUGAAGGAGAAAGGAACAACACAACACAAACCAAACACUAUCGUUGUUUUUGUGUGGA
rnacentral:lncRNA from 1 species